rnacentral:lncRNA from 1 species
GGCAGGGGCUGUGAGCCGAGCAUUCUGGCGAUGGCAGCACAAGUACGUGCAGCCCAAGAGGACUGGAGUUGCUCCAUUCUUCCAGCUCACGGUCAGUGCUAUGAUUUUCUUCUACUGCAUCAACUACGGAAAGAU